rnacentral:rRNA from 1 species
AGAAUCAACGCUGGCGGCGUGCCUAACACAUGCAAGUCGCACGAGAAAGGGUAGCAAUACCUGAGUAAAGUGGCGCACGGGUGAGUAACACGUGACUAACCUACCUUUUAGUGGGGGAUAACCUAGGGAAACCUGGGCUAAUACCGCAUAAUACCUACGGGUCAAAGCAGCAAUGCGCUGAAUGAGGGGUCGCGGUCGAUUAGUUAGUUGGCAGGGUAAUGGCCUACCAAGACUGUGAUCGAUA